rnacentral:tRNA from 1 species
GCCGGUGUGGCGGAAUGGCAGACGCGCGAGACUCAAAAUCUCGUUUGGGCAACCAAGUGUCGGUUCGACCCCGACCACCGGCACCA